rnacentral:rRNA from 1 species
CCUACGUGUGGCUGCAGUGAGGAAUAUUGGUCAAUGGGCGGAAGCCUGAACCAGCCAAGUCGCGUGAGGGAUUAAGGCCCUGCGGGUCGUAAACCUCUUUUGCCGGGGAGCAGAGGUCCGGACGUGUCCGGGCCGGGAGAGUACCCGGAGAAAAAGCAUCGGCUAACUACGUGCCAGCAGCCGCGGUAAUACGUAGGGAGCGAGCGUUAUCCGGAAUUAUUGGGCGUAAAGGGUGCGUAGAUGGCAUAGUAAGUCUUUUGUAAAAAUGCUGGGCUCAACCCAGUAGGGCAAAAGAUACUGCAAAGCUAGAGUAUGACAGAGGCAAGUGGAACUACAUGUGUAGCGGUAAAAUGCGUAAAUAUAUGUAAGAACACCAGUGGCGAAGGCGGCUUGCUGGGUCGAUACUGACAUUGAGGCACGAAAGCGUGGGGAGCAAACAGGAUUAGAUACCCGGGUAGUC